ACACCUCGGCCGGCGCAGCGCCCCGAGUAGAUUACAGCGCGGCCUUUGUCGGGCGGGCCUGGCUCCCGGCCAGGCGCCCAAACAAUAAACAAUCCCCCGGGUGCGGGCAGGGGGUUUCGCCGGCCGCAGCCAGGCUCUAGGUGUGCGCUGGCGAAUAUCUCUAUCAACCGCGAGGAGGGACCGGGCCGGGGGCGCGGGCGCCGCGGCGGGCGCUCUUACCUUCCACCCACAGCUCCUCCACGUUGGUCUCGAGGUUCGCUGCUUUUAAUCCCACCGCGAAGGCCCCAAAUAUGAGGAGGCCCACAACCAAGAACUUGCCGCAGUUUUUUUGAAUGUAACAACCCAGUUUAAAUAAGAGUCUCUGAAACUUCGCUCUCAGCCACAGCGGCGCUUUCCGGCCAGUAGCCUUCCCCUGGGGACGAAGCAGAAGGGAGGAGUGAGCGCCGGGGAGUCGCGGCCCGCGCGCCCACGCCCGCUUGCGCGCACCCGCCCGGUGAGCCCCCAACAGCCGUGGGGGCGCGGGUGGCCGCGGCACACGGACUCGCCCUCGAGACUGCAGCCCCGGCGGAUCUGAGCGUCAUGGGGGGCUCGGUCAUAAAGCCGGGCCGCAGCGUGGGAGCUGCACCUCGGGGACAUCAGGGCGCCCCCACCCGCGGGAUCCCUGAGCGACUUGGGGCACUGGGGCUGCAAUACAGAAGAGGAAGCCGAGGUAGAGAGGAGAGAAACCACUCGACACAGACAAUAUUCACCCCAGAGCUGAGAAGGGAGGGGCUGCGUAAUCCCAGCGAUGGAGCCCAAGGUUCAGGAGCCAGCAAACCAGUCCUGCUCUGUCCAUCACCCUCGGGGACGGGCGCUAGGGGCGAGCGCUCUUUGGAACAACAUAUUGCGGGUUCCCCCAACUGGACCCCCGCCGAGAAUGGUAGUAAGUGGGGAUCCACGUGGUGAGCGCGGCCGCCGGAGUUCACUCCCGACGCAUUUCCAUAGCGUGGGGAGAGGCUGUGUGAGCUGAAUUAGGAAGUGGGGCAGCCAGCUGCAACUUACGACAAUAUUUGUGAUCGGAAGAGGGCAGCCACAUGGAUCUUUCCCUCCUCUCCCUUCCUUUCUGGUUAAACGUAAAAAACAGCCGAGUGCAAAGGGAAGGGCUCAGGCCGGCGCAGGCUGCUCCCCGGCGCGGCAUUUCCCCGGCGCUGGCCGCGGCCCCGGCGGGCCCCCGUCUGGGUGCUCGCCUUCCCUGGAUUCCACACAUUUCAGCGAGCCUCGUAAACACAAUGAACCCGGCAGCUCCGCAGACUCGCACCGCGAAUUUAAGGUGGCAAUUUGUUUACAACUUUUCCUCCCCCGACCAGGCCCUAAGGAGAGGCGGCUCAAAACCUGGAAAACGGGGGGGAUAUCUUUUUCCGAGAAUAAUUUUUUAAGGGAGCAGAGAUUUCAUGCUCAACAAAACCAAAACUGGCUGC
rnacentral:lncRNA from 1 species